CCUACGGGGAGCAGCAGUGGGGAAUAUUGGGCAAUGGACGAAAGCCUGACCCAGCAACGCCGCGUGAAGGAAGAAGGCCUUCGGGUUGUAAACUUCUUUUGACAGGGAAGAGCAGAAGAAGGUACCUGUCGAAUAAGCCACGGCCAACUACGUGCCAGCAGCCGCGGUAAUACGUAGGUGGCAAGCGUUGUCCGGAUGUACUGGGUUUAAAGGGCGUGUAGGCGGGCUGACAAGUCAGAUGUGAAAUCCGCGGGCUCAACCCCCGAACUGCAUUUGAAACUGCCAGGCUGGAGUGUAGGAGAGGUAAGUGGAAUUCCUGGUGUAGCGGUGAAAUGCGUAGAGAUUAGGAGGAACACCAGUGGCGAAGGCGGCUUACUGGACUGUAACUGACGUUGAGGCACGAAAGCGUGGGGAGCAAACAGGAUUAGAUACCCUAGUAGUC
rnacentral:rRNA from 1 species